rnacentral:rRNA from 1 species
AUACGGAGGAUCCGAGCGUUAUCCGGAUUUAUUGGGUUUAAAGGGUGCGCAGGCGGCCAUUUAAGUCAGCGGUUAAAUCGUGGGGCUCAACCCCAUUCUGCCGUUGAUACUGGGUGGCUUGAUUGCGGUCGAGGUUGGCGGAAUUCGUUGUGUAGCGGUGAAAUGCAUAGAUAUGACGAAGAACACCGAUUGCGUAGGCAGCUGACCAGACCGUAAAUGACGCUCAUGCACGAAAGUGCGGGGAUCGAACAGGAUUAGAUACCCUGGUAGUCCGCACAGUAAACGAUGAAUACUUGUUUUCGGCGAUAUAAUGUCGGAGGCAAAGCGAAAGCGAUAAGUAUUCCACCUGGGGAGUACGCCGGCAACGGUGAAACUCAAAGGAAUUGACGGGG